rnacentral:tRNA from 1 species
GCCUGAGUGGCUCAGUCGGUUAAGCGUCUGACUUCGGCUCAGGUCAUGAUCUCGCGGUCUGUGAGUUCGAGCCCCGUGUCGGGCU